UUACUACAGGAGGUAAGGGAGUCGCGC
rnacentral:sRNA from 1 species